rnacentral:rRNA from 1 species
GGCGGCAUGCCUUACACAUGCAAGUCGAACGGCAGCACGGGAGCAAUCCUGGUGGCGAGUGGCGAACGGGUGAGUAAUACAUCGGAACGUGUCCUGUAGUGGGGGAUAGCCCGGCGAAAGCCGGAUUAAUACCGCAUACGCUCUACGGAGGAAAGGGGGGGAUCUUAGGACCUCCCGCUACAGGGGCGGCCGAUGGCAGAUUAGCUAGUUGGUGGGGUAAAGGCCUACCAAGGCGACGAUCUGUAGCUGGUCUGAGAGGACGACCAGCCACACUGGGACUGAGACACGGCCCAGACUCCUACGGGAGGCAGCAGUGGGGAAUUUUGGACAAUGGGGGAAACCCUGAUCCAGCAAUGCCGCGUGUGUGAAGAAGGCCUUCGGGUUGUAAAGCACUUUUGUCCGGAAAGAAAACCUCUGGGUUAAUACCCCGGGGGGAUGACGGUACCGGAAGAAUAAGCACCGGCUAACUACGUGCCAGCAGCCGCGGUAAUACGUAGGGUGCAAGCGUGAAUCGGAAUUACUGGGCGUAAAGCGUGCGCAG